AUGACUUACCAUGCACUUACCCUUUGGACUUAAUCCCAGCCUAAACUAUAGAUUAGCCCCUUAAGACCUCUCAAACUAAGGCCUUAAGUCACCUAGGAUCAAAUCUGAUCCUAAACAAAACAAAAAAUUCAUCUCACUAUCUACACAUACCUAAGUCAACUCAAACUGAGAUUGAGUCGACUCAUCUGAAAGCUAGUCGACUCAGACUGACACU
rnacentral:lncRNA from 1 species